GGCGAGGCCCCCGGAAGUCGGGCUCAUAACCCGAAGGUCGCAGGUUCAAAUCCUGCCCCCGCCACCA
rnacentral:tRNA from 1 species